GCCGUGAUCGUAUAGUGGUUAGUACUCUGCUUGUGCCGCAGCAACCCCGGUUCGAAUCCGGGUCACGGCA
rnacentral:tRNA from 1 species